rnacentral:rRNA from 1 species
UACCCGCGAGCACAAGUGGUGGUCAUUAUUAAGUUGGGCCUAAAGCGUUCCGUAGCUGGCUUGUUAGAUGCCUGGGUAAAUCGAUGCGCUUAACGCAUCGAAUUCCGGGUAGACCGGCAAGCUCGAGACCGGGAGAGGUGAUAGGCUACUCGAGGGGUAGGGGUAAAAUCCUGUAAUCCUUCGGGGAGGACCAGUGGCGAAGGCGCUACACUAGAACGGCUCUGACAGUGAGGGGACGAAAGCCCUGGGGCGCAAACCGGG